UACGGAGGGUGCAAGCGUUAAUCGGAAUUACUGGGCGUAAAGCGCACGCAGGCGGUCUGUCAAGUCGGAUGUGAAAUCCCCGGGCUCAACCUGGGAACUGCAUUCGAAACUGGCAGGCUAGAGUCUUGUAGAGGGGGGUAGAAUUCCAGGUGUAGCGGUGAAAUGCGUAGAGAUCUGGAGGAAUACCGGUGGCGAAGGCGGCCCCCUGGACAAAGACUGACGCUCAGGUG
rnacentral:rRNA from 1 species